GAUGAAGAACGUAGCGAAAUGCAAUAAGUAAUGUGAAUUGCAGAAUUCAGUGAAUCAUCGAAUCUUUGAACGCACAUUGCGCCCGGUAGUAAUCUGCCGGGCAUGCCUGUCCGAGCGUCAUUUCAACCCUCGAACCACUAUUCGCGUAGCUGGAUCGGUGUUGGGGCACUACGGUGGAAUACCCGUAGGCCCCGAAAUGAAGUGGCGGUCCCGCCGCGGCGCCCCCAUGCGUAGUAACAUCUCGUCUCGCAUCGGGUCCCGGCGGAGGCCUGCCGUCAAGCCUAUUUUCUAAUUACAGAUGGUUUGACCUCGGAUCAGGUAGGGUUACCCGCUGAACUUAAGCAUAUCAAUAAGCGGAGGA
rnacentral:misc_RNA from 1 species